rnacentral:lncRNA from 12 species
AUUUUUCAGCUAAGAUGGGCAAAAGAGUGGAAAGCAACGAAAAGGUGACCUAUGCUGACUUAUAAUGUCUACCAGAUAAUUUCAAACAGAAUUUAGAAGUAUUCAUUUGCCCAUGAGCUUCAACAUGAGAAGACAAGAUCCCAGGAAGAACACAUGAAAACA